AUGCUACGGUACAAAGCAAGUGGCAACCGUCGGGACAACUCCAAGUGCUUUUUUCGAUUUCACCUUGAGGACAAGGUGAAUUUGAGCGGGGUGGAAUGUUAUGUACCGAUUAAAUGCACUUUUGAAGGCCACGAUCUAAAUUUAGCUUAGCAAUUUAACUCUAUUGUUUAUGCAUGUUUUCCAUAAUUUCAAAUCAUUCCCAUGUUUUCCAUUUUUUAUUCCUAGUUUUUAGCAAGUAGUUAUCUUCAUCUAGUAUUUGUACGUUGUUUUGAAUUAACAAAGAUAUGAAUGAAAAAUAUUGAUCUAAGUUUCUCUCUAAUUUCUAUCCGGUUUCCGUCUUGUUUCUUUGGCCAAUCGAUUAUCGGUUGGAACCACAACACCCAUCAGUUCUCAGUCGCCGCCAACAUGUUCUUUGAUCUAUAAUCUGAUCAAUAAGCUCGAAGAAGUUAAUUCAUAAAGGAGAUGCAGGGUUUAGAUAUUUCAAAUGAUGAUGAUGAAGUUUCAGUUUCAGUUGCUGUUAGUGCAAUCGAGAAGUUAUCUUGAAAUGGUUCGACUUCCAGGAGGGUAAUGAAGCUGUAACUCUACUUUUUGGCAUCGCUGCAACUACUGGACUAAGUUUGUUUGCAUUUACUGAGGUUGAAACAAUACUUGAGGUCUUGGGUUCUGCUGCAUUGGUGCAACUUGUCAGCAAGAAGCUACUAUAUGCAGAGGAUCGAAGGAGAACUUUAAAAGAAUUUGGUGACUUUGUGAGUGCAAAAAUCGGGCCCAAAGAGUUCCUAGAUGACGUUAAGGUACUUAAACCAUAUUAUUGUUUGGUUUUGAAUGCAAGUGCUUAAUGAUUAAAAAAAAUCAGGAUAUUGGGAAAGCAUAUAUGUGUUUUGAAAUGAAAUCUGCAAGUUGGACCAGUGGUAUUUAAUAUCUUACUUAGUGUGUAAGAAAGUUAAUGUGAAUAUGAUGAAAGCCAAUGGCUUAUAUCACACUCAAGGUGGUUCUAUUAUUCUAUUUCGGGUAAGAAGAAAAUAUCCCAAACGUCUGAUCGAAAUGGUUAUGAGAAGAAAUUCAGUGAAGAAUCGUUUGGAUUAUUAGAAAAU
rnacentral:lncRNA from 1 species